rnacentral:lncRNA from 1 species
GGGAGAGGCUGUGCAGAUCCCGGCACUGGAAAGGGGCUUGGAGAAACGGCCACUGCAGUUCACGCUCCACACCCAGCCCACGGGGAGCUUGCCUGCGUUCCUGGACUCAGGAGCUGAUUGGUCCUGCCCAGCUGGACCAGUGGCUGCGUCAGGGUCUGUUUGCCUCCACGGAAGAGUCCCCAGGGGGCUUGCUUGCCCCUCUGAAAAUCCGUGGUCUGCUUUUGUUAUCAAGGAAUGACAGAGGAUUCUAGAGUCGUCCAUAUGAAAGGUGAUGACACUGCGAUCUGCCGUCUCAGCAAGUCUCAAGUUCGCGUUUUGGGCCGUGGUCAGGCUACUGCGCGUUGGAUCUCCUUCCCCGUGGGUGGCUGUGGCUCCAGGCCCCGUGGUCGGCAGCUCCCGCAGGCCCUCCCGUCCUCUGCCUGCGCAGUCUGAGUUUGGCAGUCUCAGAUUCCGCAAGCGGGCAUCAGAGUGCAGGGCGCCGGACAUGGAGGGCUACUCUGGCAGCGGCCACUUCUGGAUCAGGCCAGGCAGUGUGGGCUGGGCAGCGGCGGAAUGGAGAGGCUGUGGCUGA